CAUCCAUUGACUGCUACAGAAUCAAAUGUGAUGGCAAAAGUUGAGCAGCUAUAGUUGAAAAUAGACAAGUGACAGUUAAUUUAUUAGCUAGAGAGACAAAUUUUGUAAGGGGUCAGUCUACAACAUAUAUUGCAUGCCAUAUUAUACAUGAGCAGGAUGGUUGCUCAGUGGGUUCUGAAGUUGAUGACACCUUUCCAAAAUAACAAUACAUGAAAUGUGCAAUAAAGCUUUUUGAAUUGGUACUACCAGAAUGAGGACAACUUUUUAUAAUAAUGAUUAUGGAUGAAUGCUGGCUUUACUUAUGACCCUAAGAUGAUAAAAAAAUGAGCAAAACAUGGAAACCUUCAAUUUCAGCCAAAGAGUAAGGUGCUGCAAUGAUCAACCAUGUCAUGUUGUGUGUUUUGGGACAGCAUAGGUUUCAUAUUGACAGAUUACUUACAGAAUGGGUCAGCAAUAAUGGGCAUACUAAUGAACUUCCUACAAAAGUUACAGGACAAUAUUGCAGUAGAUCUAAGCAAUUGCUGUCAAGAAAUGUUGCUGUGGCUGAUGAUAUACCUGCAUACCCAGCUGCUGAAACAGUCACUUUUCUGUGCAAAUACAGCUAUGAAAUCUUGUCCAAUCCCCUGAAUUCUCCUUAUCUGGCAUCUUCAGACUCCC
rnacentral:lncRNA from 1 species